AGAGUUUGAUCCUGGCUCAGGACGAACGCUGGCGGCGUGCUUAACACAUGCAAGUCGAACGAGAAUCUACUGAAAGAGUUUUCGGACAAUGGAUGUAGAGGAAAGUGGCGGACGGGUGAGUAACGCGUGAGGAACCUGCCUUGAAGAGGGGGACAACAGUUGGAAACGACUGCUAAUACCGCAUGACGCAUAGAGGUCGCAUGAUCUUUAUGCCAAAGAUUUAUCGCUUCAAGAUGGCCUCGCGUCUGAUUAGCUAGUUGGCGGGGUAACGGCCCACCAAGGCGACGAUCAGUAGCCGGACUGAGAGGUUGAACGGCCACAUUGGGACUGAGAUACGGCCCAGACUCCUACGGGAGGCAGCAGUGGGGAAUAUUGGGCAAUGGGCGCAAGCCUGACCCAGCAACGCCGCGUGAAGGAAGAAGGCUUUCGGGUUGUAAACUUCUUUUACCAGGGACGAAGAAAGUGACGGUACCUGGAGAAAAAGCCACGGCUAACUACGUGCCAGCAGCCGCGGUAAUACGUAGGUGGCAAGCGUUGUCCGGAAUUACUGGGUGUAAAGGGAGUGUAGGCGGGAUAUCAAGUCAGAAGUGAAAAUUACGGGCUCAACUCGUAACCUGCUUUUGAAACUGACAUUCUUGAGUGAAGUAGAGGCAAGCGGAAUUCCUAGUGUAGCGGUGAAAUGCGUAGAUAUUAGGAGGAACACCAGUGGCGAAGGCGGAUUGCUGGACGAUAACUGACGGUGAGGCGCGAAAGUGUGGGGAGCAAACAGGAUUAGAUACCCUGGUAGUCCACACUGUAAACG
rnacentral:rRNA from 1 species